UAUGGAGAGUUUGAUCCUGGCUCAGAGUGAACGCUGGCGGCGUGCCUAAUACAUGCAAGUCGAACGAUGAAGCUUCUAGCUUGCUAGAAGUGGAUUAGUGGCGCACGGGUGAGUAAUGCAUAGGUAACAUGCCCUUUAGUCUGGGAUAGCCACUGGAAACGGUGAUUAAUACUAGAUACUCCCUACGGGGGAAAGUUUUUCGCUAAAGGAUUGGCCUAUGUCCUAUCAGCUUGUUGGUGAGGUAAUGGCUCACCAAGGCUAUGACGGGUAUCCGGCCUGAGAGGGUGAUCGGACACACUGGAACUGAGACACGGUCCAGACUCCUACGGGAGGCAGCAGUAGGGAAUAUUGCUCAAUGGGGGAAACCCUGAAGCAGCAACGCCGCGUGGAGGAUGAAGGUUUUAGGAUUGUAAACUCCUUUUGUUAGAGAAGAUGAUGACGGUAUCUAACGAAUAAGCACCGGCUAACUCCGUGCCAGCAGCCGCGGUAAUACGGAGGGUGCAAGCGUUACUCGGAAUCACUGGGCGUAAAGAGCGCGUAGGCGGGAUAAUAAGUCAGAUGUGAAAUCCUAUGGCUUAACCAUAGAACUGCAUUUGAAACUGUUAUUCUAGAGUAUGGGAGAGGUAGGUGGAAUUCUUGGUGUAGGGGUAAAAUCCGUAGAGAUCAAGAGGAAUACUCAUUGCGAAGGCGACCUGCUGGAACAUUACUGACGCUGAUGCGCGAAAGCGUGGGGAGCAAACAGGAUUAGAUACCCUGGUAGUCCACGCCCUAAACGAUGAAUGCUAGUUGUUGGGGUGCUUGUCACUCCAGUAAUGCAGCUAACGCAUUAAGCAUUCCGCCUGGGGAGUACGGUCGCAAGAUUAAAACUCAAAGGAAUAGACGGGGACCCGCACAAGCGGUGGAGCAUGUGGUUUAAUUCGAUGCUACGCGAAGAACCUUACCUAGGCUUGACAUUGAUAGAAUCUGCUAGAGAUAGCGGAGUGCUGGCUUGCCAGAGCUUGAAAACAGGUGCUGCACGGCUGUCGUCAGCUCGUGUCGUGAGAUGUUGGGUUAAGUCCCGCAACGAGCGCAACCCUCGUCCUUAGUUGCUAGCAGUUCGGCUGAGCACUCUAGGGAGACUGCCUUCGUAAGGAGGAGGAAGGUGAGGACGACGUUAAGUCAUCAUGGCCCUUACGCCUAGGGCUACACACGUGCUACAAUGGGGUGCACAAAGAGAUGCAAUACUGUGAAGUGGAGCCAAUCUCAAAAACAUCUCUCAGUUCGGAUUGUAGUCUGCAACUCGACUACAUGAAGCUGGAAUCGCUAGUAAUCGUGAAUCAGCCAUGUCACGGUGAAUACGUUCCCGGGUCUUGUACUCACCGCCCGUCACACCAUGGGAGUUGUAUUUGCCUUAAGUCGGAAUGCUAAACUGGCUACCGCCCACGGCAGAUGCAGCGACUGGGGUGAAGUCGUAACAAGGUAACCGUAGGUGAACCUGCGGUUGGAUCACCUCCUUU
rnacentral:rRNA from 1 species